AGUGGCGGACGGGUGAGUAACGCGUGAGAAUCUGCCUUGGGGUCGGGGACAACCACUGGAAACGGUGGCUAAUACCGGAUAAGCCGAUUGGUGAAAGAUUUAUUGCCCGAAGAGGAGCUCGCGUCUAAUUAGCUAGUUGGUGAGGUAAGAGCUCACCAAGGCAGCGAUCAGUAGCUGGUCUGAGAGGACGAUCAGCCACACUGGGACUGAGACACGGCCCAGACUCCUACGGGAGGCAGCAGUGGGGAAUUUUCCGCAAUGGGCGAAAGCCUGACGGAGCAAGACCGCGUGAGGGAGGAAGGCUCUUGGGUUGUAAACCUCUUUUCUCAGGGAAGAAGCUCUGACGGUACCUGAGGAAUCAGCCUCGGCUAACUCCGUGCCAGCAGCCGCGGUAAUACGGAGGAGGCAAGCGUUAUCCGGAAUUAUUGGGCGUAAAGCGUCCGCAGGUGGCGAUUCAAGUCUGCUGUCAAAGCACGGGGCUUAACUCCGUAAAGGCAGUGGAAACUGAAUAGCUAGAGUGCCGUAGGGGUAGAGGGAAUUCCCGGUGUAGCGGUGAAAUGCGUAGAGAUCGGGAAGAACAUCGGUGGCGAAAGCGCUCUACUGGACGGCAACUGACACUCAGGGACGAAAGCUAGGGGAGCGAAUGGGAUUAGAUACCCC
rnacentral:rRNA from 1 species